GCGGUUGUGGCUCAGUGAUAGAGCUCUCACCUAGCACGUGUAGGGUGCUGAGUUGGAUCCUCAGUACCACA
rnacentral:tRNA from 1 species